rnacentral:rRNA from 1 species
AUUGAACGCUGGCGGCAGGCCUAACACAUGCAAGUCGAAUGGUAACAGGAAACAGCUUGCUGUUUCGCUGACGAGUGGCGGACGGGUGAGGAAUGUCUGGGAAACUGCCUGAUGGAGGGGGAUAACUACUGGAAACGGUAGCUAAUACCGCAUAACGUCGCAAGACCAAAGAGGGGGACCUUCGGGCCUCUUGCCAUCAGAUGUGCCCAGAUGGGAUUAGCUAGUAGGUGGGGGAACGGCUCACCUAGGCGACGAUCCCUAGCUGGUCUGAGAGGAUGACCAGCCACACUGGAACUGAGACACGGUCCAGACUCCUACGGGAGGCAGCAGUGGGGAAUAUUGCACAAUGGGCGCAAGCCUGAUGCAGCCAUGCCGCGUGUAUGAAGAAGGCCUUCGGGUUGUAAAGUACUUUCAGCGGGGAGGAAGGGAGUAAAGUUAAUACCUUUGCUCAUUGACGUUACCCGCAGAAGAAGCACCGGCUAACUCCGUG